UACGUAGGGGGCAAGCGUUGUCCGGAAUCAUUGGGCGUAAAGAGCGUGUAGGCGGCCCGAUAAGUCCGCUGUGAAAGUCCAGGGCUCAACCCUGGAAUGCCGGUGGAUACUGUCGGGCUCGAAUCCGGAAGAGGUGAGUGGAAUUCCUGGUGUAGCGGUGAAAUGCGCAGAUAUCAGGAGGAACACCAAUGGCGAAGGCAGCUCUCUGGGACGGUACUGACACUGAGACGCGAAAGCGUGGGGAGCGAACAGG
rnacentral:rRNA from 1 species